AUUGAACGCUGGCGGCAGGCCUAACACAUGCAAGUCGAACGAGCGGCGGACGGGUGAGUAAUGUCUGGGCAACUGCCCGAUGGAGGGGGAUAACUACUGGAAACGGUGGCUACUACCGCAUACUAUCGGAUGUGCCCAUAUGGGAUUAGCUAGUAGGUGGGGUAAUGGCUCACCUAGGCGACGAUCCCUAGCUGGUCUGAGAGGAUGACCAGCCACACUGGAACUGAGACACGGUCCAGACUCCUACGGGAGGCAGCAGUGGGGAAUAUUGCACAAUGGGCGCAAGCCUGAUGCAGCCAUGCCGCGUGUAUGAAGAAGGCCUUCGGGUUGUAAAGUACUUUCAGCGGGGAGGCGUUACUCGCAGAAGAAGCACCGGCUAACUCCGUGCCAGCAGCCGCGGUAAUUC
rnacentral:rRNA from 1 species